rfam:Rattus norvegicus chromosome 20, whole genome shotgun sequence.
GGGGAUUUAGCUCAGUGGUAGAGCGCUUGCCUAGCAUGCACAAGGCCCUGGGUUCAGUCCCCAGCUCCG